rnacentral:rRNA from 1 species
UACGGAGGGUGCAAGCGUUAUCCGGAUUUACUGGGCGUAAAGGGCGCGUAGGCGGUCAGCACAAGUCAGUUGUGAAAUCUCCGGGCUUAACUCGGAAAGGUCAACUGAUACUGUGCGACUAGAGUGCAGAAGGGGCAACUGGAAUUCUCGGUGUAGCGGUGAAAUGCGUAGAUAUCGAGAGGAACACCUGCGGCGAAGGCGACUUUCUGGCUUAUAACUGACGCUGAGGAGCGAAAGCGUGGGGAGCGAACAGG